rnacentral:lncRNA from 1 species
UAUAUAUAUAUACAUAUAUCUCGUUUCCACUUGAUGUCUGUAUCCUCGCAUGCAUUGGACGUAUAUGCAAACAGGUUAUAUAAUAGAUAGGAACGUAUGUACAUGUAUGUACGUAUACGUAUAACAAACUAAGGAGAAAAGUGUGCCACUGAUUCCGCGUUGCACAUUUUUAUUACCUCUCUGAUUACGAGUGCGUAGAUCGAACGUAAUUUCUCGAUUUCCAUGCACAUCUAUCGAUUGAAUAUGCACUGGUUUGGCCUAGAUAUUUAUGUGCACUUUUUUCUUUCUCUGUAAUACGUAAGUGUCGCAUUUGUAGAUAGAUCGUAUGUCGUACGAUCAUUAAAACACCCGAAACGAAGGAGAAGAAAAAUUGGAAAAGAAAAAUGGCGGAGAAUCGUAUCAGGGAGGUCAGAAAUGUGGGAUGCUGUAUAUGGUACAGGUCGUGAAAAGUCUGCCAUGAUCCGGAAGACACGUAUAUAUGUACAUACCUAUAUAUGCGUAAAUAUAUACCUCUACAUACGAUAUAUCCUGAUCGUAAAUCGCGGGAGAGACUGUCGGGCGACACGCGAUGCAAGCUGGCUAUACCGUGUAUAACUAUAUACAGAGAUUGCACGAGGUGGACGUUCGAGAGGAGGAGGAGGAAGAAGAAGAAGAAGAAGAAGAAGGAACCACCUGCUCGGAAUAUUCGGGGAGAGUCUGCGCCCGGUGAGAUGCCACCCAAGCAUAGAUGGAAGCUGAACCCCGUUACAAUUAUGUAUCGAGAUUGAAGAUGGGAGCAAUUUGAGCCGUUCGGAGGCCGGUAAACGAGACGAUCAUCUCGUACCCACCUGCAACAGUUUUGGCCCUGCUGCACCACAUUCACAUCGUGAUCAACGCGCAAGAAAGCAGCUGGUCUUGGGUGCGAUGACACUUGGCACAUACGGCGCCCCUAAUUCACAUGGGUAUCUCUACGCAUACCUUUAUAAGUAUGUAAUAGACCAAAAACGAUCUCGCCAAUAUAAAUAAUUCACCCCCACGUGAAUUUUAUUUUCGACUGAUUUUUUUUC